rnacentral:rRNA from 1 species
AUUGAACGCUGGCGGCAUGCCUUACACAUGCAAGUCGAACGUGAAAGCGGGGCAACCCGCAAGUAGAGUGGCGGACGGGUGAGUAAUACAUCGGAACGUGUCCAGUAAUGGGGGAUAACCUAGCGAAAGUUAGGCUAAUACCGCAUACGAUCUGCGGAUGAAAGCGGGGGAUGCGGCACUAAAGGCUUUUGGCGAAGGUGGCCAAAGGUGAGUCAAGAGCUUUUAGUGCNGCACCUCGCGUUAUUGGAGCGGCUGAUGUCUGAUUAGCUAGUUGGUGAGGUAAAGGCUUACCAAGGCGACGAUCAGUAGCUGGUCUGAGAGGACGGCCAGCCACACUGGGACUGAGACACGGCCCAGACUCCUACGGGAGGC